GUAAUAACAUUCUACAUAAUUCUUAAGUUCGAUUCAAGAUCACAAAACCGCGCAUAUACCUUGCAGUAACUAGUACAUGCCUACAAGUUUUCCAGGCAGACACGCACUUGCUUGGAAGUAGCAACAUACGACACUGGAAAAAAAAACAAUAAAAAUAAAACGACAGCACUCGUCUCCUUCUCCUUCGCCUCUGCAACAGCGGCAAAUCCUACAUGCCCACCAAAAUCUGUAUCCAUAUAAGAGCUCAGAAAUUGCAUUAAAAUGGCGGCACCGGCGAGUGCCUCUUGGCAACCUCAGGAAGAGGGAUUGAAGGAGAUCUGUGGGUUGCUGGAGCACCAGAUUUCUCAUUCUUCUUCUGCUGAUAAGUCCCAGAUUUGGCAGCAACUUCAGCACUACUCUCAAAUCCCCGAUUUCAACAAUUAUCUUGUUUUCAUUCUAACUCGCACUAAGGGUAAAUCCGUGGAAAUUCGACAAGCUGCUGGCCUGCUGCUGAAAAACAACCUCAGAAAUGCAUAUAAAUCAAUGACUAUGGCUUACCAACAAUUUAUUAAGUCGGAGUUGUUGCCUUGUAUAGGAGCAGCAGAUAGGCAUAUAAGGUCAACAGUUGGGACCAUUAUAAGUGUUAUUGUUCAAAUAGGGGGAAUUUCAGAGUGGCCUGAGCUGUUGCAGGCUCUUGUAACUUGUUUGGACAGUAAUGAUCUAAAUCACAUGGAAGGUGCCAUGGAUGCUCUGUCUAAGAUUUGUGAGGAUAUCCCUCAAGUUUUGGAUUCGGAUGUACCUGGGUUAUCUGAUCGCCCCAUCAAGAUUUUCCUCCCUCGAUUUUACCUUUUUUUCCAGUCACCACACAGUUCGUUGAGAAAGCUUGCCUUGGCUUCUGUGAAUCAGUACAUUAUGUUAAUGCCUGCUGCUUUGUAUGCAUCUAUGACUGAAUAUCUUCAGGGUUUGUUUAUUCUUGCUCGGGAUCCUACUUCAGAAGUGCGGAAAUUGGUUUGUGCAGCAUUUGUUCAGUUAAUUGAAGUCCGUCCAUUUUUCUUAGAGCCACAUUUUAGAGAUGUUAUUGACUAUAUUUUACAAGUCAACAAGGACGGUGAUCAUGAAGUAGCUCUUGAAGCAUGUGAAUUCUGGUCUGCAUACUGUGAUGCUCAGUUACCACCUGAGAACUUGAGAGAAUUCUUGCCCCGUCUAAUUCCAGUUUUGUUGUCAAACAUGGUUUAUGCUGAUGAUGACGAGUCACUUGUUGAUGCUGAGGAGGAUGAGUCUCUUCCAGAUCGUGAUCAGGAUCUGAAACCACGUUUUCAUUCAUCACGACUUCAUGGAUCAGAUAGUGUGGAUGGUGAUGAUGAUGACAUAGUUAAUAUAUGGAAUUUAAGAAAAUGCAGUGCAGCUGCUCUGGAUGUUCUAUCAAAUGUGUUUGGAGAUGAGAUUCUUCCAACUCUGCUGCCUGUUGUUCAGGGCAAGUUGUCUGCCACUGGUGAUGAAGGCUGGAAAGACAGGGAAGCAGCUGUCUUGGCUCUUGGUGCUGUAGCUGAGGGUUGUAUUAAUGGUCUUUAUCCUCAUCUCUCUCAGAUCGUGGAAUUUCUUAUUCCCUUGUUGGAUGAUAAGUUUCCCCUCAUACGGAGUAUUUCUUGCUGGACACUUUCUAGAUUCAGCAAAUACAUUGUUCAGGAAAGUGGCCACAAAAAAGGAUAUGAACUGUUUGACAAGGUUCUUAUAGGUCUUUUACGGAGAAUAUUAGAUACUAACAAGCGGGUCCAAGAGGCUGCUUGUUCGGCUUUUGCAACACUGGAAGAGGAGGCUGCUGAAGAGUUGGCACCACGCUUAGAGAUUAUUCUACAGCACCUCAUGUGUGCUUUUGGAAAAUAUCAGAGACGGAAUCUCAGAAUUGUAUAUGAUGCUAUUGGAACUCUUGCGGAUGCUGUUGGAGCAGAACUGAAUCAGCCAACUUAUCUUGAAAAUCUGAUGCCACCAUUGAUCGGAAAGUGGCAGCAGCUUUCAAAUUCAGAUAAAGAUCUUUUUCCAUUGCUUGAGUGCUUUACAUCCAUAGCACAGGCACUGGGUCCAGGGUUCUCUCAAUUUGCUGAGCCUGUGUUUCAGAGGUGUAUAAAUAUCAUCCAGAGCCAACUUGUGGCCAAGGUUGAUCCCAUUUCAAUUGGAGUACCAUACGAUAAAGAGUUUAUUGUCUGCUCUCUGGAUCUCCUCUCUGGGCUUGCUGAGGGUCUUGGUAGUGGGAUAGAGAGUUUGGUUUCACAAAGUAGUUUGAGGGACCUGCUUCUGCAAUGUUGCAUGGAUGAUGCCUCUGAUGUUCGACAAAGUGCCUUUGCACUCCUUGGAGACCUUGCAAGAGUGUGUGCUGUUCAUUUGCACCCUCGACUGCCUGAAUUUCUUGAUGUUGCAGCCAAACAACUGAACACUACCAAGCUUAAGGAAACUGUGUCAGUAGCAAAUAAUGCUUGUUGGGCUAUCGGAGAAUUAGCGGUUAAGGUUCAUCAAGAAAUUUCUCCUAUUGUUAUGACCAUUAUAUCGUGCUUAGUUCCAAUACUUCAACAUUCAGAGGAGCUGAACAAGUCCCUCAUUGAAAAUAGCGCAAUCACACUUGGGAGGCUUGCAUGGGUUUGUCCUGAACUUGUAUCACCACACAUGGAGCAUUUCAUGCAAUCAUGGUGCAUUGCUUUGUCUACAAUUCGUGAUGAUAUUGAAAAGGAGGAUGCUUUCCGAGGUCUAUGUGCAAUGGCUCGAGCAAAUCCUUCAGGAGCUCUAAGUUCACUAGUUUUCAUGUGCAAAGCUAUAGCAAGUUGGCAUGAAAUAAGGAGCAAAGAGCUGCACAAUGAAGUUUGUCAGGUGUUGCAUGGUUAUAAACAGAUGCUUAGAAAUGGAACAUGGGACGAGUAUAUGUCUGCUCUGGAGCCUCCAGUAAAGGAAAAGCUGUCAAAAUAUCAAGUAUAAUAGAAUUCCAGUUUCACUUGCUGGAAUUCUUGCAUGGUAUUUGGGUCUUCUGUGCUGGGUAUUUGCUUCAGCCAUGACAAUUGUUUUGUGCUUUGUCCUAUAUGAUUGGCCACAAGUCGUUUGGGCAUAGACCAGGAUUUCGUCACGAUUUUUUAUCAUGAAAAGCAUUGGUAUUGCCGUAAUUCGAUGAAGCUUGUAGCUAUGUGCACCUCUUCAAAACAUUCAUCAGAUUUGUUGUUUGCACUUCAUGUGGUUUAAGAAAAAUGAAGAAAUGGGAUGUAGAAAUGGUGGGCAGGGGUGCAACUUCCAAGCUUUUUGGAGCAUUUUUCUUAUUUAUGUCUGGUGCUAGGAUGGCCAAUAAUUAUCUCAUUCAAGCUUCCAAUUCUUAUUCUUUUUGGCUCUGGAUUUUUUUUUUCUUUCCUCCAGUUGACAGGUUUUUGUGUGAUUUCCUCAGAUUAUUGUUCAAUGGAUUUUGACAGUGAUUUGAUUAUUAGAAGUUUUUCCAUGUCAUUAUUCUUCAAGGUUUGUAACUAAUAGACAAUCAUGAAUUCAGUUUCUUGUUUUACAAGGGACUGAGAUUGGGGUUGUGCAAACAAUCAUGUAUCAUGUAACCUUGUAUCUUAUAGUAUUUAUUCAAUCAGUAUUUUGUUUGGAC
rnacentral:misc_RNA from 1 species